UACGUGGGGGGGCAAGCGUUGUCCGGAAUUAUUGGGCGUAAAGCGCGCGCAGGCGGUCAUUUAAGUCUGGUGUAUAAUCCUAGGGCUCAACCUUGGGUCGCACUGGAAACUGGAUGACUUGAGUGCAGAAGAGGAGAGUGGAAUUCCACGUGUAGCGGUGAAAUGCGUAGAGAUGUGGAGGAACACCAGUGGCGAAGGCGACUCUCUGGGCUGUAACUGACGCUGAGGCGCGAAAGCGUGGGGAGCAAACAGG
rnacentral:rRNA from 1 species